GAAAGAUACAUCACUUUGUUUGUGUUAAAGUCAAACAAAAUGACAGCAACGUUGCAACAUAAUAUGCCUUUCAACAUCGCAGAUUUAUGAAUGUUUUCGGACGGAAACUGGGAGACUGACUUGAAGUGACAAAUCUGCCCUCGAGAAUAAUCGAGCAACAGUGUGCUGGUGGAGGUCGGUUGGUGUGGAUCGAUAUGACGAUUUUCUAGAAGAGCGCGUACGAAGUGAAAGGACAAAAAAAUUGUGUCGCAAAUUUUGCCAACCAACAUCAAAACAAGCAAUUAAAAUGUUUAGCUUCUUCAAGCGCUCAAAGAAUCAAAAAUCAAAACAAAAACACGAUGCAAGUGCAUCGAAGGUUGCCAUGCCGAGCGCGUGCGUUGCGAAUGCCUUGGAGACGCAACCGACGUCACCCAUAGCUACACCGAUGCGACUUCUCGAUCAAGAAGAAGGCGCUGGUAAUCGUGUUGAUGCUAAGGUAAGACCUACUGCCGAAAACAGCGGAAGCGGUGGAGAGGGCGAAAGUGUUAAAAAUAAGCAGCAUCCGCCGCCAACGGCAGCUCGCUUCAGUCCGAAUGAUAUAAUCCGUGAGAACGGUCGUUCGUUUGACUUCGAGGACGGCACGGGCAGCGUGAUCGAGUUCGCAGACGCCGUUGAAACUGACGACGAGGACGCGAUCAAUGAGUGCGAGCAGCGAGAGGAUCUCAAAUUGCUACCACUUCAAAUACGGGGGGAGACGAACGACCCGAAUUCAGAGCAAUCAGCUAGUUACAAUCAAAACGCGAACCUGUUCGAAAGUACCAUGGCAAAAGGUAAAAACAAACGACGCUAUCAGCAGCAGCAGCAACAGAAUGGCAAAAAUUUGCAGAAUCAGCAAGGCCAGAAACAGGCGGGUCAAAAUCAACAUCCCAACAAAGAUAACCACCUGCUGAAGACACAAACCGAUGGCAUAUGCGAAAAACAAAACACAGUAACCGUGGAAAAAGUGACGCAGCCUGCUGAGAAUGUGACUAAAGUACAAGAAAUUAAUGGCGAAGUUAAUCAUAGUGAACAUAUUUCGAACGAAGAGCACAAAGUGAAAAUCGUUAGCAAAGAUACUGAUUCUGAGCAACGACCGUGUCUCACGGCCGGUGACGUCAAUGGAAACAACGUCGAAGUUCACGAGGAUAAAAAUAGCAUCGUGGUGCGCUCGGAUACCAACAAGCCUUCGUACGGAGAUCAGCAGCACGAUCAUUCUCGUCGUCCCGACGACGGUGUGAGUGUAACGGCGGAGGAUACGACUGUCAUUACAUCCGUGACGUCGCCGUUUCCGUUAACACAGACAGUGCAAAACGAUCUUACCACUGUCGUCGGCGAUGCCGGCGUUAAUGAAUUAUUAAAGAGCAUCAAUAACGACUCAGUGCCUUCUCAGUGUCCUGCGACAGAACUUCAUUCAUCUGCCAUUACUAUCUCUCACGAGAUUAAAGAUGGUUUGCGCGACACGAUCAACGGUAGUGAAACUGUAACUAGCAAAGACGGAACAUCGGACACGGAAAUGGGCCAACAGCCAAGUAAACCCAGUGAACCCGCAAGCAAUAACAGGCGAUCGCUCACGCCAAAUCGUCAAUUGUCCAGCACAAUUUCUGAGUCUCCGCAACGGCAAUUACUAGCAGUGCAAGUGAAACAAGAUGCUUCUCGGGACGAUAUUAGCGACGAUCGAGAUGUCUUCUAUGAAGCGACGGAAUCCUUAUCCGCCGUAUUUAACCCCUCCUCCCUGGACAAAAGUGACCCGGCCGUACCAUGCUCCGCGAUCAUCAUCAAGCCAGCAGCGCAAGAAAAAUCACCACCACCAAAAGCUAUCAUUUCCGCUCAUCCAGGCGAGCCGCGAGUUAGCCCGAAAAAACGAGUAGUGUUUAGUGAUCAGCUCAUCAUAGAUGGAAACCCAUCUCAGGAGCCCGAUUCACGCAGCGACAGUGUUAGCAGUGCAAGUACCGAGUCACUCCCGAAUGCGUUAAAUUUAGAACCACCGCGUUAUGAGCAUGUCGCAAAAAAUAAUGAAGAGCAAGUGCAUGCAAAAUCCUCCUCAUACGAAUCACUUGUGUUUAACAACAGUUCAAACGAAGUGCUCAGUGUCGGUAACAGCGUUGAACAAAGUGCAUUUAUUAGUGAUAAAAGUGGCAUUUCUCCCAGUGUUCCAAUGAUCAUGUCCAAACCGAAUCUAAUCGAAUUCCGUUAUGAUCACAGUGAACCAAGUGCUCAACCAAAUGGCCACCUGGAAGAAGAAAAAGAAAAGUCGCAGCUUACUGUGAUCAAUGGUGAUAAGGAGUUGACGACCGCUAUGAUUGAAAAUGGCACCGACUUGAUCAUGGACGAGAUCAACAGCCUUCCGGAUGUGGUGCAGCCGACCAACAUCGAGAAGGCAACCAAGCAGCCCUUCAACACAGUUGAUAAAAUCAACAGUGAAAUGAAGGAGCUGGUAAACCAGGAAUCCCGCUACAGCGUCAAGCUCGAGGAUGCCGACAAACGGGCCAGCGAAGCUCAGACCAAAGUGUAUGAGCUGCAACUGCGGCUGGAAGAGGUGGAACGAGAGGUUUCGAUGAAAGAAUGCAGCGUUGACCGUCUCAAAGGGGAACUGGAAGCGGCAUGCAAGGAAUGCGAAAGUAUUCGUGCCCGGCUGCAGUCGCAGAAUUCCGAGAUGGAAGCCCUAAGACUGAAAUUCUCCGAUCGGGAGGAUGAGCUAAAUCUUAAGUACCAAAAUCUAGAGAUAGAAUACUUAGAGUUAAACGAGAAGUUGAAAGAUGUGCGCCAGUUGGCUCACGAGUUGAACAUGCAGCUCAUCGACGCCCAAACGGUGGCGGAAACGGUGCGGAAGGAGAAGGACAAACUGCUCGACGAACGGGCAGAAGAACAGAAGAUCAUCACGGAGGCCCUCGAGCUGGCCCUGAAGGAACGGGCCCAGGUAGACGCCAAGUGGAAGAAUGACUUCGAGCAGCUUCGUACGGUCAAUACCGAUCGGGAGGAGCAUCUCAUGGAGGACUGCGAGUGGAAGAUACGGUCGAUGCAGAAGAAUUGCAAGGAGAAGAUCGAAACGGUCGAGCGCGAGCGGAAGCUGGCCAUGGACAAAAUGGUGCGGCUGGAGCAGGAGUCGAGGAAACAUGUGGAUGAGGUCAAACACCUACGAUCGUUUGAAGCCGAAGUGUCGCAGUUGCGGGGAUUAACGUACGACCAGAAGGAAUCCCUAACGAUCAUGACUCGUCAGAUUGACCAGCUCAAGACCGAGCUGGAGAUGGCAAAUAACAAGCUGGAAGUCGAAAUCGUCAAAGUUCAACAGAUCAAGAAUCGCUGUGAAUAUCAACUGUGUGAUAAAGAGCGUGAGGCUCUCAAUCGGAUAGAGAUCGCUCGCGGUGAGAUUGCCAUGCAAUGGGAGGACCGGCUGCUGCACGAGAUGAACCGACUGAAGGUGGAACUCGAGCAGAUGCACAUGGAAGAGCGGAUUUCCGCGAUAAACAAGAUCAAACGGGAAGCUCUGGAGGAAACUGAAGCACUCAAGCACAAGUUCAACAUGCGUGAGAGGCAGUUGAAGGAAGAGAUUGAAUCUUUGAAAGCAACCAUUGCAAGGCAGAGGCAAACAAUGGAGCAAGCCCAAACCGACACUGAUUACAAGAUGGUACAGUCUAGAAUGUUCGUGGAACGAGCGGAGCGAGAGCAUGAGACAAUUUUGGAACGAGAAGUUUCCAAGAGGGAUCAAAUUAUUGAAAAUCUCAAAGAACAGUAUGAAAAGGAAAAGUAUGACAUGGAGCAACAUUUCAGUCUUAGAAUACAACAGGUCCAGGAAGAGUUUCAACGAGAGCUAUCGGAUUCCACUGAAUUGCUCAAGGUUACACACAAAAAGGACUUGGAACAACAAUGGAAGAAUCUGGUAAGCGAGAAGGAAGAGGCACUGCAACUGAUGGAAUCCCGGCACCGGAACCGCCUGGAGGACGCUGAAAAUAAAAUCAGAGAGCUAACGAUCAGCCAUCAGCGGCAACUGACGGACCUUCAAGAAGAUCACCGAUACGAUAUCAGCAGCCUGGAAACCCGGGACAGCAAAAACGCCCAGGAAAUUCAAACCCUGCACAAAAAGUGUCGAUGUUUAACGAAUCUUUUCGAGGAAAUGCGAAUGCGAUACGAACGUCGAGAUCCUCGGCCGGAAGAUUUGCAGCAGAUCGAGGAACUGAAGAGCGUCAUCGAAUCUCAGGACCGUGAUCUGCGGCUUCUGACGGAACAAUUCCGAGAGAUGCAGCUGCACGAAAGGGAACUGCAGCAGAGACUGUUCCAGCAACAACAACAACAACAGCAGCCUCCACAAGCACCGAGGAGAGCGAAGAAUCGUGGCAAACAGCAACCAAAUCAACAGAAUGAACAGUCACUAGUAGAAGAUCCGCCACAACAGCAGCAGCAACAACAACAACCACCUCAGAUUCAGAUCCAACCCAUGUCUUCCUCCGUCCCCAUUGUGUGUGAUGUAAUCUACGAAGAGAACGAAGCUGAUUUGAUCAAGGAGGAGCAAGAAGAGCAAGCUGAACAGUCUGAGGCGGUUGAGCAGGUUCAGCCAACUGCACAACCUGAUCAAGCUGAGCAGAUCCAGAUGGUUGAGGUAGCUGGGGUCAUCGUGGACGUUCCAGAAUCGGAAAUAGAAACUAUGACAUCCGAUGUGCACUCAACGGAACCCAUUUUCAUCGAUAACUUGCCAGAUUCACCUACAGAACAAGUCUUUUCAGAAGUAGAAGAUGGCAACCAGCAGGAAAUCCCUGUGAUACAAAUCGAUCAACUUCCAAAAUUAGAACUGAUGGAUUCGGAAGUGUCUAUCCCAGUGCCAACUCCCUCAAUUAUAAUUACCGAAGAAUCGGGAGAGUCCACAGAGCACGAAACAGAAGAAGUAUGCAUAACAACGGUUAUCGAGCUGCCUACUCCCAUUAAACCUGUUGUAACUCAACCCCCAGCUGAGCCCGCUCAAUCGGAAUUUGAUGAAAUACAACAGAAAGUACAAAGCAUGCCAGAGAUGAUCGUCAUCCGAGAACCAGAUGUGGUUGCGGAAGCCAAGGCUGCUGUGGCUGCUACAUGCGAUGGUGCUUCUUCUGUUGAUGUGGUUGUUUGUUCGCCCGGCCCACGAUCCUCGUCGACGUAACCGUAGUGUCCACCCUAGAUAUCACCGAAACCCUCACUAGGACCAGUGUUUAAGAUACUUAAUUUACACUCUAUCUAGUCUCGCUCUGAAGCCCUUCCCUUGCUAUGCGGUACACUAUUCCGUUAUGCAAGUUGUUUAUUAUUUUAUAUCAUCUUCCUGCAUAUCAGCUAGAUCCUGUUGAAAAUAUAUCUUGAACGUUUAAUCAUAGUUUUUCAAAUGCUCAUGAUGAACAUUGUGGAGGAAGACUGCUG